AAAUCUCUCCUUGCCUUGCAUUCCCAAACUCACAAAAAGGAACCAAACCUUGCUUUGAUUGAAACAACAUUUCCUCACCAUUCUGCUGUCAUUUGAAACAUAAUUAACCCCCAUCAAGCACAUUGGCAUACACAAAAAAAUCAUUCAUGCUGAAAGUUCAUUCUUAGCAUUUUCAAAACCAGUUCAAAAACUCCAAAGAAUAAAACUUUGCUUGGUUUGAAACAUCAUCCAAAC
rnacentral:lncRNA from 1 species